rnacentral:miRNA from 1 species
UCACUGGGUUGAGUUUGUCU